GGCGAAUAUAUUGUAAACAGUGUCGCUUCACUGUCAAAAAGUGAUCGAGACAAUCAGCGAAGUAUUUUAAACUAUAGUUGAUACCAAUAAUUUUUUGACUCAAUCCACCCUACAAGUUCACUAAGAAAUGGCGCCAAAUAUUGAUUGUCCAAAAUUAUCUACAAAUAUCUAAAAAAGAAACAGCAAUGUGAUUCGGUAGAAAAUUAAUCACCAGCACUACAGGUUUAAAUAAACAAACAUCUUUUGACUGUAUUUCAAUAAAGAACUUUAUUU